rnacentral:rRNA from 1 species
AUUGAACGCUGGCGGCAUGCUUUACACAUGCAAGUCGAACGGUAACAGGGAGCUUGUUCCGCUGACGAGUGGCGAACGGGUGAGUAAUGCGUCGGAACGUGCCGAGUAGUGGGGGAUAACGCAUCGAAAGGUGUGCUAAUACCGCAUACGUACUGAGGUAGAAAGUGGGGGACCUUCGGGCCUCACGCUAUUCGAGCGGCCGACGUCUGAUUAGCUAGUUGGUGAGGUAAAGGCUCACCAAGGCGACGAUCAGUAGCGGGUCUGAGAGGAUGAUCCGCCACACUGGGACUGAGACACGGCCCAGACUCCUACGGGAGGCAGCAGUGGGGAAUUUUGGACAGUGGGCGCAAGCCUGAUCCAGCCAUGCCGCGUGUCUGAAGAAGGCCUUCGGGUUGUAAAGGACUUUUGUCCGGGAGCAAAUGCUGGUGGCUAACAUCCACCGGAGCUGAGAGUACCGGAAGAAUAAGCACCGGCUAACUACGUGCCAGCCGCCGCCGUAAAAC